UAACCCUCCCUUCUUUCACAGU
rnacentral:miRNA from 2 species